UACGGGGGGGGCAAGCGUUGUUCGGAAUUACUGGGCGUAAAGGGCUCGUAGGCGGCCAACUAAGUCGGAUGUGAAAUCCCCAGGCUUAACCUGGGAAUUGCAUCCGAUACUGGAUGGCUUGAAUCCGGGAGAGGGAUGCGGAAUUCCAGGUGUAGCGGUGAAAUGCGUAGAUAUCUGGAGGAACACCGGUGGCGAAGGCGGCAUCCUGGACCGGUAUUGACGCUGAGGCACGAAAGCGUGGGGAGCAAACAGG
rnacentral:rRNA from 1 species